GUUGAAACACCGGUUCUCGUCUACGAUCACCGAAGUUGAGCAAUGUCUAGCCUGGUCAGUACCUAGAUGGGUGACCACUUAAGAAUAUCAGGUACUGUAG